rnacentral:lncRNA from 1 species
UCCUUCCUUCCACAGGACGAUGCCCUGCAGGCCUGUGUGCCACCCGGUGGCGCAACCUCUAUAGGGGCGACCAACCUGCUCCUCGUUUUGAACAGUUGGUGAAGCUGGUCAACCUGUACAAUUUCUAUUUUUGGGUGAAGUUGGUACCGACUGGGAGUCUGGUAGUUCUUGCAGAUUUUACUUCUAUCCAGGUACUCCCUCCGUUCGGAAUUACUUGUCUCGGAAAUGGACAUAUCUAAAACUAAAAUACGUCUAGAUACAUCCAUUUUCGCGACAAGUAAUUCUGAACGGAGGGAGUAGUUAGAACUUCUAUUUACAAACCUUGAGCUGAUGCAGAUGAUGCAAUGUUGUUUCCCGUAACUCUACUUUGGUCCAACCAUGUUCGGCAAGAUGCCCUGACUUUACUUCUUUUGGUGUUCUUUAGCCAGUAUAGACUCUGGAUUGUGAUAAGAGAUCAAUUGUCCAGGCUGUUCUGACAAACAUAUUUUAUUACUGGGGCAGUAUUAUAAGCUAUUAAUUAUGCUUUUAAAAGUUAAUUUCAUUCAUCUGCGAAAGUAGUAUAGCAUGUAACCUUGGAGGGGUUGAACUAGAUACCAAUCCAAGCAGGCCGCAACGAAGAUAAUAUAGUUUUUGGUCUUUUCUAUUACCAUUUUAGUUCAGAUUACUUCCAAAACAUUGCAUGGAUUUUUGCACAUAUUGGAUACUUUAUUUCUGUAAUUUCAUGCUGUUUAAUUACAUGUAAGUUGUGUGCUCUAUUUAAUUAGGUGUUUGUCUUUUGGCUUGCUACAUAGUAUGAUUUUAGCUAAUAAAAUGUACACAUCUUCGCAGGGACUGUAGCAAGACAUAUCGGAAGAUCAUAAUUCAAUCUAAGAUGUCGUCCGAAAUCAAAGAUGAUCCAUUUAUAAUUUGAUGUCGAAAUUAUUAUGAUGAUCAUUCAUGUGGGAUGCACAUAUGCAUGAUUUUCUUCUUAUAAAGCAAUUCUUUUGGAACUUAGAUUUAGUAAUUACUUGACACAUGAAGUGUGUAGUAGGCCACUCACAAAAGGCAUAGUUUCCAUCCAGCCGGUUUGGCGGAUUUGAAUUGAUGUUUCGUCAAUUCCUGAAUUUGCUACUCUCCUACAUAGUCUUGUUCAUGUAACUCCCAUUAGUUCACCGAGUGAAGUUUAGGGAUUGCUUUUGUUCAAAGCUAUUAACUCUUAAAU